UUACGGUCAUAUCAGGUUAAAACAACGGUUCUUGUACGAACACCGAAGUUAAGCAACGUCGAACCUAGUCAGUAACUAGAUGGGUGACCACUCGUGAAUACCAGGUGCUGUAA